GAUGAACGCUGGCGGCGUGCCUAAUACAUGCAAGUCGAGCGAACAGAUAAGGAGCUUGCUCCUUUGACGUUAGCGGCGGACGGGUGAGUAACACGUGGGUAACCUACCUAUAAGACUGGGAUAACUUCGGGAAACCGGAGCUAAUACCGGAUAAUAUUUCGAACCGCAUGGUUCGAUAGUGAAAGAUGGUUUUGCUAUCACUUAUAGAUGGACCCGCGCCGUAUUAGCUAGUUGGUAGGGUAACGGCUUACCAAGGCGACGAUACGUAGCCGACCUGAGAGGGUGAUCGGCCACACUGGAACUGAGACACGGUCCAGACUCCUACGGGAGGCAGCAGUAGGGAAUCUUCCGCAAUGGGCGAAAGCCUGACGGAGCAACGCCGCGUGAGUGAUGAAGGUCUUCGGAUCGUAAAACUCUGUUAUUAGGGAAGAACAUACGUGUAAGUAACUGUGCACGUCUUGACGGUACCUAAUCAGAAAGCCACGGCUAACUACGUG
rnacentral:rRNA from 1 species